rnacentral:rRNA from 1 species
AUUGAACGCUGGCGGCAGGCCUAACACAUGCAAGUCGAGCGAGCGGCGGACGGGUGAGUAAUGUCUGGGAAACUGCCUGAUGGAGGGGGAUAACUACUGGAAACGGUAGCUAAUACCGCAUAACAUCAGAUGUGCCCAGAUGGGUUUAGCUAGUAGGCGGGGUAACGGCUCACCUAGGCGACGAUCCCUAGCUGGUCUGAGAGGAUGACCAGCCACACUGGAACUGAGACACGGUCCAGACUCCUACGGGAGGCAACAGUGGGGAAUAUUUCACAAUGGGCGCAAGCCUGAUGCAGCCAUGCCGCGUGAGUGAAGAAGGCCUUCGGGUUGUAAAGCACUUUCAGCGGGGAGGCGUUACCCGCAGAAGAAGCACCGGCUAACUCCGUGCCAGCAGCCGCGGUAAUUC